rnacentral:lncRNA from 1 species
UGCAUUCGCCUAGCACAGACGUCGUCUCUCUCGCCUCCGCCUCGGCCCCGGGGAAGGCUUUAUUCCCUCACCUUAUUCGGUACAGAAUGUCAAAUCAUCCGAUAAUUCUGUGUCUUCUCUUCUAACCAACAACUUACCAAUCCGGUCUUCGGCUCAGACCAGGCAUUGGAACAGACCGUGCUAAUGUCUCUAAAGCAAUAUGGUCAAGGUUUAAGAGAUGCACAUGUCCUACAUCGUCGAUGUUGGCCCAGCAUUGGAAUUUUACAACUUAAAUCACCUGGAUGAGCCUUUUUAAGGCCUACACGGACGACAACUUGUUAUUAUUGUGGUUGUCCUCACGAAUAGCUGUGGCUAGAAAAACAAUCCGAUGUUGCCUCUGCACAGGAACAGCGACAGGAAGACUAACCAAGUAUUCUUGCCACACCCUGGUCUUCUAUGAAAAUACUGUCUGCCACGACAGUUGCGGUUGAAGAUGCAGUCCAGCGGCACUGUCGAAGAUUCCAUGUGUGAUAGUCCGAGGUAUAGGAUGUUACUGUGACCUCUCCAGAGACCGGAGAAGAUCAGGACAGAAGCAGUUAAGCCUUCGUCAGCAAAGGACCUACCUUCUUCAUCUCAUCCCAGCGGGGCGUCGUUUCCUCCGCCAUGUCACCCGCCAGCGCAUGCCCAAAAGACACCAACCUGUUCCUGAAAAUCUACGCUCUGUACACGGCGUGAUGCUGCGAUGCGACAAUAAAUGCUUACGCCCCAU